AUUAAUAGUCUGGCCUGCUCACUGACAUAAUAUAAUGUUAAAGAGCCGCGGUAUCCUGACCGUGCAAAGGUAGCAUAAUCAUUAGUUCUUUAAUUGAGAACUUGUAUGAAUGGUCGGACAAGAGAAACCCUGCCUCUGCUAUUAUAAUAGAAUUUAACUUUUAAGUGAAAAGGCUUAAAUUUUUCAAGGGGACAAUAAGACCCUAUAAAGCUUUAUAUACUAAUUAGAAUUAAUUGAAUUGACCAGAUAAAAAUUUAGUCUUAAAAAUAUAUUUAGUUGGGGCGACGAAAGUAUAAUUGAUAAUAACUGCUUAAAUAUAAUACAAAUAAUAAAUGAUUUUUUUUUAAUUGAUCCUUUUUAAAGAUUAAAGACCAAGUUACUUUAGGGAUAACAGCGUAAUUUCUUUUGAGAGUCCAUAUCGAAGAAGAAGUUUGCGACCUCGAUGUUGAAUUAAAAUAUCUUUAUAGUGCAGCAGCUAGAAAAAGAAGGUCUGUUCGACCUUUAA
rnacentral:rRNA from 1 species